CUCUUGAAACGCUAUCUAAUUUUUCAGCCAUGAAGAUCUUUGCUCUUUUCACAGCUGUUCUCUUCUUUGUGCUGAUGGCUGCUCCAGGUAACAAUAUUUAUUUAUUUAUUUAUUUAUUUAAAAAUACAGUCAAAUCUCGGUUGUCAAACACAAUCCAUUCUGGAAGACAAUUCGAUUUCCGAAAUGUUUGACAACUGAGGCAUGGCUUCUGAUUGCAAGAGCUUCUUGCACUCAAGCAGAAGCCGCGUCGGACGUUCGGGUUCUGAAAAAUGUUCAAAAACCAAAGCAUUUACUUCUGUGUUUUUGGUGUCCGGGAGCCGAAACGAUGAAAAACAGAGCCGUUCAAGAACUGAGGUUUGACCGUACAGUGGUACCUCGUUUUGAGUCCGGGUUCCGUUCCAGAGCCCUGGACGCUCAGGGAAAGGGACUCUCGACAAUUAUCCGCUCUGCGCACAAGCGUGAACAGUUUUGUGCUUUUGCGCAUGCGUGAAGCGUGAUUUAGCGCUUCUGAUUCAGCGCUUCUGCAUGUGUGCAAGUGGCAAACCCGGAAGUAACCCAUUUUGGUACUUCCAGGUUUGCUGCGGAUGUUCCACGAAAUGCUCCAGUGCUCCAGCCACAGCCCCUUCCAUUAAGUUGGCUACAGUCCUAUUGCCACCCACCAGCUGAGUCUGCUAUUAGCAGGAAUGACAAUGAGAACACAACUUGUUCUUUCUUUUGCUACAGCACUUGCGCAGACGUCAGAGGCAGAAUGUCGCAGGAUGGGUGGCAGCUGCCAUAAUGGCUUUUGCCCAAUAGGCAAAAUUCACAAGGGACAUUGUGGUAACCCAAAAAGAUGGUGCUGCAGAAGAUAGGUAAGAAUUCUAGAUGUAUCUCCUGCCCUGCUGUCAGGAUUGUUUUGUCCUUUGGUUCUUUUUAUCUAAACCAAUUUGGAGAAGUCCCAGUCCAAGCCAAAACCCGGGCUGGCUUUUAAGACAUAUUAAUGUAUCUGGCUGGGACACGGGUGGCCCUGUGGUUUAAACCAGAAGACUAGGGCUUGCCAAUCAGGUUGGCUGUUUGAAUCUCCGCAACGGGGUGAGCUCCCGUUGCUCGGUCCCUGCUCCUGCCAACCUAGCAGUUCGAAAGCACGUCAAAGUGCAAGUAGAUAAAUAGGUACUGCUCCGGCAGGAAGGUAAACGGUGUUUCUGUGUGCUGCUCUGGUUCGCCAGAAGCUGCUUAGACAUGCUGGCCACAUGACCCGGAAGCUGUAUGCUGGCUCCCUCGGCCAAUAAAGUGAGAUGAGCGCCGCAACCCCAGAGUCGGUCACGAGUGGACCUAACAGUCAGGGUCCUUUACCUUAAUGCAUCCGGCAGGAGAAUAAGAAUAGCAUAUUUGUAUACAGAACACAAUAAGUAGGAAUACUGCUGGCCAGAGUGAAAAAAUAGCUUGGCAUGUUCUUGUGUCUGUUACACAUGCCUGAUCUGUAGAAGUUGCUGGGGCCAAGAAAUGACUCACCCAGAACUUCUACAUGCUUCUUCAUAGGCUGUUAGGUUCCCACCUCAAUUCCAUCCAUCCUGGAAGAGCCUAUGAACUUGGCCCACUGUGUGCUGGUGAUGCUUUCUAAAAUGCUGAGCUGUACCAUAGAGGCUGAGUCUGUCACCUGGGCAACUCUCUUCCUCUCCUGUUCUUCUGUUUAUGAUAUGCAGGAAAGCAAAAUGGUCCAAAUCAUUGUGAAAUAGUUAAUAUAGAAAUGGAGGUGCUUUCAAGACUUUUCCAAGGGAUAGUUUCCCCUCCAAACCCCACUUCUGCCCCAGUAUUUCUUCCAGGCCCUGCUAUGGCUUAGCAUUUGCAGUUGCUGAUGCUUUCCUUAGGAAAUACAUGCUAACAUCCAGCUUUUUUGAAAGAAAUCCGGGCUACCUGAAGACUGGUCUUCUAGUUAUGAUCUGUAACAGAAGAGGAAGACAAAAUGGUCUAGAUCAUUGUGACAUAGUUAAUAUAGGAACUGAGGUGCUUUGGGGACUUUUCCAGGAGACAGUUCACAUCUCCAAACCCCAGUUUUGUUCUAGUUUUUCUACCAAGUUCUGCUGUGGCUCAGAAUUUGCAGUUGCUGAUAGUUUCCUUAGGAAUCGCAUGCUAACAUCGAGGGUUUUUCUGCAAAAAAACAACACAAAACCUAGGUUACAUGAAGAAUAGUGGAAAUAAAACAAUCAGAAUGAAUUGCUUUGGUGUUACUAAGCUUGACAAGAGCAGAGCCAUAGGGAAGCUUUAAAAAAUGCAAUUGGCCUUCUAAUAUUGGCAUCAUGUAUUAUGUUAGGAGGAGAGUUGGGUUCAGAUCACUGGUGUAUUUCAAGUUACUCUGUAUUUUUCUCUAAUAAAUUUUAUUAAGAUUCACAGAGAAAAAUACAAAACUUAAUAUCCUUUCCCCCUUUUUUAACCACACCAAGACUAUCUAAAUACAGUAAAAACACAAAAAGGGGGAAGGAGAGACAAAGAAAGAAACAGAGGAGAAAAGAGGUUAAAAGAGAAAGGUAGAAAAAAAUAAGAUUCGGAAAAGAAGGAACUUCUGAUUUUUCAUCUGUCCACUAUUAAAAUAUAUGUAUUCACUACAUCCAAUCCAAUAUACCACCCAUCAAAGUUAAGUCAGUAUUUUUAAGGGGCAAACAACAAAUUAUCAUGCUCAGAACCUAUUCAAGUCAGGAAAGGCCAAUCUGUUUCUCCAGAUGUUGCCAGCCUACAGAUCUCCCUCACCCCUGAUCCCUUGCCAUACUGGCUGUUGGGGCCAAUGGGAGGUGGGCUCCCACAACAUCUGGCGAGCCACAGCAUGAUUUAAAGGACAAGCCCCAUACCAAUGUAUUUCUCCUCUUUUUCUUUAUAUUAAAAUCUGUGUUUGUGUUUUGCAUCUGAAUGUGUUCAGCUUUUUAUUCAUGAUUAUCUAUGUAAUACAGCAUUAAAAACUGCAGAAUCUGACAAUGUUCUCUCUUUCGCACAGAUAACGUCAGGAUGUUGGCUGCGUUACAUCUAUAGCCUGAACAUUUUCAUGGCCUCUGCAACCCGCUUCGCUACGCUUUUGCGCUUUUAAUGGAGCUGAUUCUCUGGUGGUUGUUUUCCUUCUUCUGCU